ACUGAUGGCCCAAGAAAGACAAGGACUUGUGAUUUAUAAGCACCAAGUCACUUCUGACCUUAGUCACAAUGUCGGAGAAGGUGGCAUUGUAGCAAGGAGUUCCACAAAGAGUAGAGGUUUGGGAAGUGGAGAGAAAUAAAGCAAGAAAGAGGUAAUGGAGAAGUGAAAAUAUUACACAAAAAAGGAAAACAUCCCUAAGAAGCUCCUCUAUCAAAGGAGGAGAGGGAGGAAAGGACAAAUAAUCAAGUUGGAGAAACCCGUACACACACAGGAAAGACCAGACUGGUGGUGACUGACACUCAAGCAGAAGUCAGUUAUGCAAAGAUAACUUAGAAAGUGUGAAAGUGACAAAAGAACAUGCAGAUGAAAAACAGGCUUGUAGGUGGCCAUGAUGACAUCGAAGGCAAAUGUCAGGAGGAAACUCAAGAUUGCAAAGGAAGUGACCACUGCUUAUGUGUGAUUCCAGGGAUCAACAAGAGACAGAGUGAGAAGGGAACACUUCAAACACGUGUCAUUUUACCCAAGAGCAGGGACAUGGAAUGGCACUGGGAAGGGCAAACAGUAUGGUGAGGCCAACAGAUCGGAGAUACUGCCAUUGAAGAGAUACUUAGCUACACACACUUCCCAAGAAAGGGGCACACACCAGGCAGUGUAGGACCACAUGUGGAAGCAGCAGGAUCGGAAAAACAGCAGGAGUUGGGGGAAAGCAUGGGCAAGAACCUUCACUGUGCUUUUGCAGGUAAGAAUGGUCAAGACAAGGUAAGCAAGCUAAGCAGG
rnacentral:lncRNA from 1 species